rnacentral:rRNA from 1 species
UGCCAGUAGUCAUAUGCUUGUCUUAAAGAUUAAGCCAUGCAUGUCUCAGUGCAAGCUAAAUUAAAGUGAAACCGCGGAAGGCUCAUUAUAUCAGCUAUGGUUCCUUAGAUGGUACCAAAGUAUACUUGGAUAACUGUGGCAAUUCUAGAGCUAAUACAUGCAAAUAGAGUCCCUGCCUCCCAAGGCAGGGAUGCUUUUAUUAGAUCAAAACCAACCGGCCUUCGGGCUAGUUGCUCUUGGUGACUCUGACUAACUUUGGGCUGAUCGCACGGUCACGUACCGGCGACGCAUCUUUCAAAUGUCUGCCUUAUCAACUAUCGAUGGUAGGCUCUACGCCUACCAUGGUUGUAACGGGUGACGGGGAAUCAGGGUUCGAUUCCGGAGAGGGAGCCUGAGAGACAGCUACCGCAUCCAAGGAAGGCAGCAGGCGCGCAAAUUACCCACUCCCGGCACGGGGAGGUAGUGACGAUAAAUAACGAUGCAGAACUCUUUCCGAGGCUCUGCAAUCGGAAUGAGCACACUCUAAAUCAUUUAACGAGUAUCCAUCGGAGGGCAAGCCUGGUGCCAGCAGCUGCGGUAAUUCCAGCUCCGAUAGCGUAUAUUAAAGUUGUUGCGGUUAAAAAGCUCGUAGUUGGAUCUGUGUUUCACUCUGUCGGUUCGUUGCCCGUCAACGUUUAACUGGCAUGCAAGUGGAACGUCCUGCCGGUUGGCAACGCGCGUCCGCAAGGGCGUGCGUGCGCCAGUUGGAUCCUGUCUAGGUCCUCUUCACCGAGAGUCGAGGCAGGCCGGCACGUUUACUUUGAACAAAUUUGAGUGCUUAAAGCAGGCUGUUACGCCUGAAAACUGGUUGCAUGGAAUAAUGGAAUAGGACCUCGGUUCUACUUUGUUGGUUUUCGGAGCCCGAGGUAAUGAUUAAUAGGGACAGGCGGGGGCAUUAGUAUUGCGACGUUAGAGGUGAAAUUCUAAGAUCGUCGCAGGACUAACCUAAGCGAAAGCAUUUGCCAAGGAUGCUUCCUUUAAUCAAGAACGAAAGUUAGAUGAUCGAAGGCGAUCAGAUACCGCCCUAGUUCUAACCAUAAACGAUGCCAGCCAGCAAUCCGUCGCUGUUCCUCCGAUGACUCGACGGGCAGCUUCCGGGAAACUUAAGCUUUUAGGUUCCGGGGGAAGUAUGGUUGCAAAGCUGAAACUUAAAGGAAUUGACGGAAGGGCACCACCAGGAGUGGAGCCUGCGGCUUAAUUUGACUCAACACGGG